AAAAGGUAAAGCACGUAUUUGCAUGACAUUCAUGUUUAACCAUAGCAGUUUUUUUUUUUUUUUAGAUGUUCAUGCAUUGCAUUGGAUUCUAUAUACAUAAAACGUGCGGUUUUUAUAUUCAUAUGACUAGUGCACUCCCACUAGUCAUUUGCACUAAUUUGACUUCUUUUUUUCUCGAUUUUACUUUUUGAGGUAAAUAAAGAAAAUAUAUUAUGGAAUUUUAAAUUUUAAAUUUUGAAUUCUUUUCUUGGUAAUAUUCCUA
rnacentral:lncRNA from 1 species